UAUGUGCUUGACUGAGGAACCAAUGGGGCAAAGCUAGCCUCUGUGGGAUUAAGACUGAAAGCCUCUAUGUCAGAAUCC
rnacentral:rRNA from 1 species